CCUACGGGAGGCAGCAGUGGGGGAUAUUGCACAAUGGGGGAAACCCUGAUGCAGCGACGCCGCGUGGGUGAAGAAGCGCCUCGGCGCGUAAAGCCCUGUCAGCAGGGAAGAAAAUGACGGUACCUGAAGAAGAAGCCCCGGCUAACUACGUGCCAGCAGCCGCGGUAAUACGUAGGGGGCAAGCGUUAUCCGGAUGUACUGGGGGUAAAGGGGGCGCAGACGGCGAUGCAAGCCAGGAGUGAAAGCACGGGGCCCAACCCCGGGAUUGCUCUGGGAACUGGGUGGAUAGAGUGCAGGAGGGGCAGGCGGAAUUCGUGGUGUAGCGGUGAAAUGCGUAGAUAUCAGGAGGAACACCGGUGGCGAAGGCGGCCUGCUGGACUGCAACUGACGUUGAGGCCCGAAAGCGUGGGGAGCAAACAGGAUUAGAUACCCGUGUAGUC
rnacentral:rRNA from 1 species